GAUGAACGCUGGCGGCGCGCCUAACACAUGCAAGUCGAACGAUUAAAGCACCUUCGGGUGUGUAUAAAGUGGCGAACGGCUGAGUAACACGUGGGCAACCUGCCCCUUUCAUUGGGAUAGCCACGGGAAACCGUGGAUAAUACCGAAUACUUCGAGACUUCCGCAUGGAAGACUCGAGAAAGCUCCGGCGGAGAGGGAUGGGCCCGCGGCCUGUUAGCUUGUUGGUGGGGUAACGGCCUACCAAGGCAAUGAUGGGUAGCUGGGUUGAGAGACCGACCAGCCAGAUUGGGACUGAGACACGGCCCAGACUCCUACGGGAGGCAGCAGUGGGGAAUCUUGCACAAUGGGCGAAAGCCUGAUGCAGCGACGCCGCGUGCGGGAUGAAGGCCUUCGGGUUGUAAACCUCUUUCAGCAG
rnacentral:rRNA from 2 species